AACGCGGUGCGACAAGGGGUGGCCGCGACGCCGACGAGUGAGAUGAAAAUAGACGUUGAAGCAAGAGGUCCUAUCGCUGUCCGGUCCCCUCUCUCUCGGCCAUCCCUCUGCUGGGUACUCCGGGCUGCCCCCAGCCAUGGCGACCGUCGCAAACCUCGAAAUGGAAGAAAGAGGUGGCGGAAUUUUGGAAGGGUGCGCUCGCUUCUUCACUUCGGCUCCUCCAUCGUUCUUGGUGUACUGAGAUCGAGCAUAGAGCGCGAACAAACGUGAACGAACGUUGCUAACUUCAAUGAACGUGAACGACUCGCCACAAGUACGAACCUAAGGUUUACAGCGAUGAAUGCUUUCCGUCUCAUAUACGUCAAAGGGGUCAAAGGUAAAGCGCUCACUACAUUAAUCAAAUCGACAAAUAUUCAUUUGUAAUCGUUCAUUUUUGUUUAGUCCGUAGGCAUCUCUUCAUUUGCACUCGCACGGUGGUCGCGCGGCGGGCCUUGACGUUUUCCACAUAAAACCGCCGCAGGAAUAAUAUUUACGCUUGCCGGGCAAAGCUAUAAACCGAAUUCCAUCCCGUCCAUGCCGUCAUCGUCCCGAUCGACACGAUGCGCCCAAGUGCAUUGAAAUAGACGUCAAUCGAAAGAUGUAUAUACGGCAAAGUAGUAUAAACAAAUUUUUCUUAUUAAUGUCGGCAAGAAAAUAUUAUUAUGACAUUUAUAGAAAAACUAUGGUAUUAAAAAUAAUCCCUUUUAUACAAGAAACUUUGUAACCAUUAGAACAUUUUUUAAUAAUAAAAAAAAUUAAUCUAAUUAGCUAAUAUAAAUUCCAGUAUAAUAAUUUAAUUUUUUAAGAUUUAUUCUAAGGCAAAUUGCAGCGUUUUUCUCUGCAUUUAUGUGACCUCGAAAUGUAAUGGUUCAGUGUAGUGCAAUAAUUUUCUUGCGGAGAAAUUGGACCUAUUCCAGUUCUCAUUAACGACAGGAAGAAACGUGCCGAGGACGACGAUCCUUGGGCGUAUGACAUGUGUCGUAAGGUCGAGAAAUUCAUUGCUUCCGUUAACUCAUCAUAAUCAAUGAGAGUAGCUAAUUAUUUGCAAAAAUUAAUAGCAUAAUGUGAAAUAUCGUUCUGAAAUUUUAUUCUGUACGAUAUUUUAAUAAUUUUAUUCUGUAAACGUUUCUUGUUUGAUAUAUUUGUAGAAU